AAGUCGUAACAAGGUUUCCGUAGGUGAACCUGCGGAAGGAUCAUUAAGGUUUUGUGUUUGAGGAUGGCGCUCGUGUUGCUCCUGUAUUGGGUCGAGCGUUUACAACUAUCCACUCCUGGUGCCCCCAAGCAACCAUCAAUCUGAAAGUGUUUGGUGAAUUGUGCAAGGGCAGCGCAGUCAACGAUCGGUGGUCCACACGGCCAUCGACCGGGGGUCGUUACCUCCCUGUGGGGCCAAGUUCAUUCAGGUUGAACAUGAUGCAUGUCUACCGCGCCCGACGAAAGUCCGACGCACCCCUAACCGAACAACUGUUAACAAUGGAUAUCUUGGUUCUC
rnacentral:misc_RNA from 1 species